UACAGUGUGGAUCAUGCAUCUUUUUUGUACCUGUUUCUCUUGACUGCCUUUGUCCUGUUUAUAAAUGGGAUCUGCAAAAUGCCACAAAGUGAUGCAGAUGAGCAUUGCACAAGACCCAUCGAAUGGACCGACCUAACAAAAGAAACUGAUGGUGAAGUAACUUGCCAAGGAUCAUAUCAUAUAACAUUUCAGUUUUUGGAUUGCAUUUUAGUUUCACUGCAAGGUAUAUUAAAUUUAACUAAUUAGUA